GUUCGGAUAGUUUAAUUGGAUAAAAUAUUUCCCUCCGACGGAGAAGAUAUGGGUUCAAGUCCCAUUCUGAACACCA
rnacentral:tRNA from 1 species